rnacentral:rRNA from 1 species
GACGAACGGUGCAACCGUUGUUCGGAAUUAUUGGGCUUAAAGGGCGCGUAGGCGGUCGACCAAGUCCGGGGUGAAAUCUUUCGGCUUAACCGGAAAAGUGCCUUGGAUACUGGCCGGCUGGAGGGAGGUAGGGGCAGGUGGAACUUCCAGUGGAGCGGUGAAAUGCGUUGAUAUUGGAAGGAACGCCGGUGGCGAAAGCGACCUGCUGGACCUCUACUGACGCUGAGGCGCGAAAGCUAGGGGAGCAAACGGG